CAGGAAAAAGCGAUAUUAUUUACAUAUUAAGUGCUGCUAUUGAUAUUAAAGAUGAAUUUGAUGUUUUCUUGUUUUUUUUAAUGACUGGCACAGCUAGUUUUUCUGCUACGUGUUUCUUCAAAGAUUUAGUAUAAAAUGGGGCGUCAAUGCAAUUCAAACAUCAGUUCUAUUUGAAAAUUGGAGCAAUGAAAUUCUUUGCCUUCAUCGCGUUGUUCGUGUGCGCCAUCUUGGCUCUGGCCAGUGGAGAGCAGCAGCUGAGGAGACAAGUGCGCAGUCGAGUUCCUAUUGACGACUACCCAGCACCAGGCCACCACCACCACCACCACCACUACGGAUACGGCUACGGAUACCACUGAUAAUUUUAAGUUAAGAUUCCUGAUGAAUUAAAUUACAUGUGAACUGGAUUAAUGUUAAGCGAGGAUUAAAAUAAUAUUUAUAAUUUA